rnacentral:rRNA from 1 species
CAAUAGCGUAUAUUAAAGUUGUUGCAGUUAAAAAGCUCGUAGUUGGAUUUCUGGGAGGGUGCCGAUGUCCACUUAACGUGUGCGCAGCGGCGCCCUCUCAUCCUUCUGUUAGCGUCUCUUGGCAUUCAUUUGCUGGUGGCGGGCUCAGAUAUUUUACCUUGAGAAAAUUAGAGUGUUUCAGGCAGGCUAGGCCGGAAUACAUUAGCAUGGAAUAAUGGAAUAGGACUACGGUCUCUUUGUUGGUUUGAGGGACUGCAGUAAUGAUUAAUAGGGAUAGUUGGGGGUAUUCAUAUUCAAUUGUCAGAGGUGAAAUUCUUGGAUUUCUGGAAGACGAACUACUGCGAAAGCAUUUACCAAGGAUGUUUUCAUUAAUCAAGAACGAAAGUUAGGGGAUCGAAGACGAUUAGAUACCGU